rnacentral:lncRNA from 1 species
GUACAAAACAACUCAUGCUUUUUUUUCAAUAACAUUUUCCGCAACAUUGUUCUGAAAUAAAUUCUCAGUGAAAUGUGAACAUUUGAUUGAUUAAUUUAAUUUAUUGAAAAAGUUUCAAAUUCAGUCUGUAAGACAACAAAAUGUGUAAAAAUUCAAGGUGUGUGAAUACUUUCUGAAGGCAUUGUAUAUGAAAUGGGAAGGCCAUUGUGCAAACAUUGUGCAAACACCUGUAAUCUCAGAAAUAGCCGUCUGUCUGUCGUGGGUUAUCAAACAGUAUGCUGUUAUUCCUGUUUGAAGACAGGAAAGUGAUCCUGAAGAUUAAAAUAGUGUUCUUCAAUUAUUUUAAUGCCUAAUCUUUUACGUGAAGUGUGUAGUGAUUUUACAAAUACAUUUAGCUCUGUCAGGAAACUGAACAGACAGGCAAGAUGGAACACGCAUCCACACCCGACACACCCACAUCCUGUUUGAUCACCUGAUUAAGCUGAUAAAUACCCAACAGUACUCCCAAGUGAACAACACGUUAUGGAAAUUUUUGACAUAAACUGGUGUUCAAAGAUUAUCCUUUUCAGUAGAGUCACAUCUAGAACUUAUCCGGGCGUUUUAAUACAAACAUUUGCGGAGUUGGAGCGUGAUGAGGACUCCCCCAUCUCAUCCCACCAACUCUGUCAGUCCAGCAGGCCCCACAAUGCAGCCUCCACACCACUGCAGUAACAGCCACAUCUUCCCAUCACAAUGCUUCAGUACUAUCUCAAUGUGUUGAAGUACCAUCCAGGAUCCUGUGUUAACGUCAAUGUGAAACAGCAUUGACCCGUGAUCACCACCAACCAGGGCUCCACAGCGGUAUCCUUGGACACCCAGUGAAUCCAGAGAGAGCAC